UACGGAGGGUGCAAGCGUUAUCCGGAAUCACUGGGUUUAAAGGGUGCGUAGGCGGCCUGGUAAGUCAGGGGUGAAAGCUUCCCGCUCAACGGGAGAACUGCCCUUGAUACUGCCUGGCUCGAAUUGGGUUGAGGCUGGCGGAAUGUGGCAUGUAGCGGUGAAAUGCUUAGAUAUGCCAUAGAACACCGAUUGCGAAGGCAGCCAGCCAAGCCUUGAUUGACGCUGAGGCACGAAAGCGUGGGGAGCGAACAGG
rnacentral:rRNA from 1 species